rnacentral:rRNA from 1 species
GAGUUUGAUCCUGGCUCAGGAUGAACGCUGGCGGCGUGCUUAACACAUGCAAGUCGAACGGGAAUUACUUUAUUGAAACUUCGGUCGAUUUAAUUUAAUUCUAGUGGCGGACGGGUGAGUAACGCGUGGGUAACCUGCCUUAUACAGGGGGAUAACAGUCAGAAAUGGCUGCUAAUACCGCAUAAGCGCACAGAGCUGCAUGGCUCGGUGUGAAAAACUCCGGUGGUAUAAGAUGGACCCGCGUUGGAUUAGCUUGUUGGCAGGGUAACGGCCUACCAAGGCAACGAUCAGUAGCCGGUCUGAGAGGUUGAACGGCCACAUUGGGACUGAGACACGGCCCAGACUCCUACGGGAGGCAGCAGUGGGGAAUAUUGCACAAUGGGGGAAACCCUGAUGCAGCGACGCCGCGUGGAGGAAGAAGGUCUUCGGAUUGUAAACUCCUGUUGUUGAGGAAGAUAAUGACGGUACUCAACAAGGAAGUGACGGCUAACUACGUGCCAGCCGCCGCGGUAAUUC